UACGUAGGGUGCAAGCGUUAAUCGGAAUUACUGGGCGUAAAGCGUGCGCAGGCGGUUUUGUAAGUCUGUCGUGAAAUCCCCGGGCUCAACCUGGGAAUGGCGAUGAGACUGCAAGGCUAGAAUCUGGCAGAGGGGGGGUAGAAUUCCACGUGUAGCAGUGAAAUGCGUAGAGAUGUGGAGGAACACCGAUGGCGAAGGCAGCCCCCCUGGGUCAAGAUUGACGCUCAUGCACGAAAGCGUGGGGGAGCAAACGAAGGAUUAGAAACCCGUUGUAAGAUCCGAUGACC
rnacentral:rRNA from 1 species